rnacentral:rRNA from 1 species
GACGAACGCUGGCGGCGUGCUUAACACAUGCAAGUCGAACGGAAAGGCCCUGCUUUUGUGGGGUGCUCGAGUGGCGAACGGGUGAGUAACACGUGAGUAACCUGCCCUUGACUUUGGGAUAACUUCAGGAAACUGGGGCUAAUACCGGAUAGGAGCUCCUGCUGCAUGGUGGGGGUUGGAAAGUUUCGGCGGUUGUGGAUGGACUCGCGGCUUAUCAGCUUGUUGGUGGGGUAGUGGCUUACCAAGGGUUUGACGGGUAGCCGGCCUGAGAGGGUGACCGGCGACAUUGGGACUGAGAUACGGCCCAGUAUCCUACGGUAGGCAGCAGGGGGGAAUAUUGCACAAUGGGCGGAAGCCUGAUGCGGCAACGCCGCGUGCGGGAUGACGGCCUUCGGGUUGUAAACCGCUUUCGCCUGUGACGAAGCGUGAGUGACGGUAAUGGGUAAAGAAGCACCGGCUAACUACGUG